rnacentral:rRNA from 1 species
UGCGUAGGCGGAUAGAUAAGUCAGAGGUGAAAGCCUCCCGCUCAACGGGAGAACUGCCUUUGAUACUGUUUAUCUUGAAUGAGGUUGAGGUUAGCGGAAUGUGACAUGUAGCGGUGAAAUGCAUAGAUAUGUCAUAGAACACCAAUUGCGUAGGCAGCUAGCUAGGCCUUUAUUGACGCUGAGGCACGAAAGCAUGGGGAGCGAACAGGAUUAGAUACCCUGGUAGUCC